CGCGAGGGUCUGCGGCUUCAUUCUUGAAGUCAGUGAGAGCAAGAACCCACCAAUUCCAGACACAAUAGUAUCCACAGUGUGUAAAACAGUGAAGGCAUAUGGUAAGAGCAUAAUAUAUAUUGUAUACUUCAUACUCAAUGAAUGAGAUUUGUAAGUCUGCACUUCUUUGCCUUGCUAUUUCAUGCAAGAAGCAAUAUGAAAAAGAAAGCCUAAAAAGAAGUUUGUUCUGCAUAAGACUUUUGCCACCUUUUCAACAACCAUGCAAAAAAUGGAUGGCAGGCCCUGUAGAACUGAUCUUUUUAAGGCGCACUUACAACUGAAAGGUCAGCCUUCAUUAUGUUUCCAGCAUAUCUGUGUACUUAAUAAGAGAACAGUUAGCUACAAGAGCAACAACUAAGAAAAAAAUGUCCACAGUGAAACUUAAUCCCCGAGGUGUUACUGUCUCUCCAUGCCUGCAUGUGGAUCUCACCAUUCCUCUAGUCCUGGUGCUUGCUUUCAACACAGAGCUCUGGACUGCAAGGCAUUUGAUUUCUGGUAAUUAAUCAGCUCCUCAUACACGCUAUGUUUCUCCCCCAGGCCCAGCUCAAGUGAGUGAUCCAAAUCUGGCUUCAGGAAAAAAGAAAGUGUUUAUGCUCUGAGUGCACAGAAUGAAACACUGAUAAACAGUUCUUGGUAAAACAUUGAAUCACAUGGCAUUAUUUUUCUUUUCAAGUCAUAAGUCAUUGUGAAAAAAUACACGUAGCAAAAAAACCAAAACCAAAACAAAAGCCAAACAAAAACACGUUGGAUGCCCUUUAAACAGAAAGCAUUUUGUCCUGCUAGAAAGAGUUAUCAGGAUUUGCUGGUAUUUGUGUAUCUGGUGCCUUUUAAAGUGUUUGCCUAGAAUGUGAAUGUUCAUUUUUUAAACAUCUUUUUGUUUGACUCUUUAUCCACAGUACUUUAUCUUAUGGUU